UUCUGAGCGUAGGAGGCACGCACGUUUUCCCUGGUUUGUGAGAGAAAGAAAGAAGCCUCCUGGACUUUGUCUGGGGCUGCGGCCUGUAGUCUAUCGCCUUCAGAAGUGUUCUGCAUUGGGGACCAUCGGCCUGUA